AAUCUGCAAUUGCCCCCAUGCAGGACUACAGACCUCCGUUUACAAGAUUGACAGCUGGCGCUCUACGACUGAGCUAUAGGGGCUUCACGGUCUUAAAAAUUAUUGGUCCCAAAGUUAUUAAAACAAACUGCUAAUCAUAGAUAUGAACACCAUUUAUGUAUGUGUAUGUAUUUGUUACUUGUUACGCCAUUGCAUUUACCUCCGGCAGCCAUGGGUCAUGGAUCGGAAAGGCAAAUUGAAUAAAUACUUCAAUUCCUAUCAACAUGCAUCGACCGACAAGGCCCACCUUAUCUUUUGCAUGCCAAGAACCUUCAUAGCCAAGAAAUGACUGAGGAGAAUGUUGAUUAAGGUUGAAAGAAAGGAAACGGGUGUACGGUUUUUUUUCAACACACAAGUAAAGAACACGAUGGUUCAAGGAGAUACAACGUUUGUGAAGCAUCACAAUGUUUCAGAAGUAAUCGCAAGGAAGAAUUGGUAUAAAUAGGAUGUUUUAUUUCAGUUUUAUGUAACCCCCAUUUGUACAAAAAGAAU